UGGGCGGUUGGAACCUCGCGAUGCUCUAAGAUUAGAGUUUGAUCCUGGCUCAGAACGAACGUUAGCGGUGUGGAUUAGGCAUGCAAGUCGUGCGCGAAAGCCGCAAGGCGAGUAGAGCGGCGAAAGGGUGAGUAACACGUAACCAACCCACCCCUCAGAUCGGAAUAACCGCUGGAAACGGCGGGUAAUGCUGGAUGUUCCUGAUCGGAGGCAUCUCCGGUCCGGCAAAUGGUGGCGCAAGCUGCGCUGUGGGAGGGGGUUGCGGGCUAUCAGCUAGUUGGCGGGGUAACGGCCCACCAAGGCGAUGACGGCUACCGGGUCUGAGAGGACGGUCCGGCACACUGGGACUGAGACACUGCCCAGACUCCUACGGGAGGCUGCAGUCGAGAAUCUUCCGCAAUGGGCGCAAGCCUGACGGAGCGACACCGCGUGCAGGAUGAAGGCCUUCGGGUUGUAAACUGCUGUCACGUUUUAGGAACGAACGGGCGUUAACAGCGCUCGGACUGACCAAGGCGAGAGGAAGCACCGGCUAACUCUGUGCCAGCAGCCGCGGUAAGACAGAGGGUGCAAACGUUGUUCGGAAUUACUGGGCAUAAAGAGCACGUAGGUGGUGCGCUAAGUCACGUGUGAAAUCCCUCGGCUUAACCGGGGAACUGCGUCUGAUACUGGAUGGCUUGAGUUCGGGAGAGGGAUGCGGAAUUCCAGGUGUAAGCGGUGAAAUGCGUAGAUAUCUGGAGGAACACCGGUGGCGAAGGCGGCAUCCUGGAC
rnacentral:rRNA from 1 species